rnacentral:rRNA from 1 species
ACGGAAGGCAGCAGUGGGGAAUAUUGCACAAUGGGGGAAACCCUGAUGCAGCGACGCCGCGUGAAGGAAGAAGUAUCUCGGUAUGUAAACUUCUAUCAGCAGGGAAGAUAGUGACGGUACCUGACUAAGAAGCCCCGGCUAACUACGUGCCAGCAGCCGCGGUAAUACGUAGGGGGCAAGCGUUAUCCGGAUUUACUGGGUGUAAAGGGAGCGUAGACGGUGUGGCAAGUCUGAUGUGAAAGGCAUGGGCUCAACCUGUGGACUGCAUUGGAAACUGUCAUACUUGAGUGCCGGAGGGGUAAGCGGAAUUCCUAGUGUAGCGGUGAAAUGCGCAGAUAUUAGGAGGAACACCAGUGGCGAAGGCGGCUUACUGGACGGUAACUGACGUUGAGGCUCGAAAGCGUGGGGAGCAAACAGGAUUAGAUACCCUGGUA